rnacentral:rRNA from 1 species
GAUGAACGCUGGCGGCGCGCCUAAUACAUGCAAGUCGAGCGAACAGACGAGGAGCUUGCUCCUCUGACGUUAGCGGCGGACGGGUGAGUAACACGUGGAUAACCUACCUAUAAGACUGGGAUAACUUCGGGAAACCGGAGCUAAUACCGGAUAAUAUAUUGAACCGCAUGGUUCAAUAGUGAAAGACGGUUUUGCUGUCACUUAUAGAUGGAUCCGCGCCGCAUUAGCUAGUUGGUAAGGUAACGGCUUACCAAGGCAACGAUGCGUAGCCGACCUGAGAGGGUGAUCGGCCACACUGGAACUGAGACACGGUCCAGACUCCUACGGGAGGCAGCAGUAGGGAAUCUUCCGCAAUGGGCGAAAGCCUGACGGAGCAACGCCGCGUGAGUGAUGAAGGUCUUCGGAUCGUAAAACUCUUUUAUUAGGGAAGAACAAAUGUGUAAGUAACUAUGCACGUCUUGACGGUACCUAAUCAGAAAGCCACGGCUAACUACGUG